rnacentral:rRNA from 1 species
UACGUAGGGAGCAAGCGUUGUUCGGAUUUACUGGGCGUAAAGGGCGCGUAGGCGGCGCGGUAAGUCACUUGUGAAAUCUCUGAGCUUAACUCAGAACGGCCAAGUGAUACUGCAGUGCUAGAGUGCAGAAAGGGCAAUCGGAAUUCUUGGUGUAGCGGUGAAAUGCGUAGAUAUCGGAAGGAACAUCAGUGGCGAAAGCGACUUCCUGGACCAAUACUGACGCUCAUGUGCGAAAGCGUGGGGAGCAAACAGG